ACCAAGUGCAAGCUAUGGGGUGAAGGUGUGCUCUGUAGCGCAACUCUAACUGUGCGCUCUGUUGCUGCUCGUCACUGUGCACGUAUCUGUGAUGUUGUUUGCGAUUCGCCUGGCUUUCCUGGUCAAAUUUUGGAGAACUGUGAGGCUAGGUGUGUGUGUUUAUCGUGUGUGUGUUUGUGGGGUCCAAAUGAGACCGCUUGGAAGGAGGUUUUGAGGAGCGGGACCUGGAGCAGAGCAAGUUCCACACAUGACUUUCAUGGCUCUGAGGGUUUGUGUGCGCCUUGUUUAUCGUUUCUUAAUCAGAGGUAGAGUUCCUUUUCCCAGUCAGCUCAUUCUUCUGAUGCAUCUUGCCAUUUUUUCGUUUUGCCUUCGACGCACAGGUCUGAGCCCUCUGCCAAAAAGACUCACAGCUUUUAUUGCUUCAUGUUCUGUGCUUGGACUAUGGAGACGAAGUAAAAGUCUUUUUGCACGUUCUAGUCCACGAAGUUUUGGUUUGUGCAUUGGAGUCCCAGUUCUCGUCCAGUUGGCUGGCAGUUUCUUUCGAUUUGACAGUUAACAGCUCUUUCAAAGAUUAGAUGGUGUGAUGCGCAUUGAGGUCAAUUAUGGGAACUCAGGAGCUGCACCAGAACUUGAUUCAGUGACCUGAACCAGAACUUGCUUCUCUCCACAGUGUCUGUGGUAGGCCUUUCCUGGUGAUCUUUGCGACCAGGCACGUUUUCACAAUUGAAGGAGCUUUUUAUUGUGUUCAUUCUAAUCAUUUGACAGAAUGAAAGUUUCUACUAAUGCGCGUUUCUGUGUGCAUGUGAUGCUGCCUCUAUUGAGCGAGGUUGGAUCGACAAAUGCCGAUUCUCUCUUGGUAGGGCGCAGCUUCAAGUCCUCAUCUCCUAUGAUAUUUGGAGUCAAAAAGUCAGUUCUUGAAUGAUUUCCUUCUUCCUUGCCUGUGGUGUCUUGUAUUUCCUUACUUGUAACUUGACAUGGCAUUUUAAAAUACCAAGAAACAGUGAACUGGGGAUGUUGUCUUCUAUGCCUACAAAGUAUUGGAAUAUGUGCAAGUUUAUGCAUAGGUUCCAAAUCCCUACAUUCUCAGCAUGCAGGAGAUGGACUAACUAUCCAGUCAAGGUAUACAAAAACCUGUAAUUGGAAUGGCGCUGAUGUUUGCAACAGCAGAAUUAUUCACGGAAGAUAUGUGAAUAUACUUGCGUCUGUUUGAAUUCGUAAAUCGUGUCCUUUCCGUACGAUGUUGCAAAAUUCGAUGUAAUUUGAGAGGAGAAGAUUUCUGCAAUCCUAAGCCAAGGCUUUCAACGAAGUUAAUUAAAAAUUUUAGGCUGUUUAUGAUCUUGCAAUCCAUGAUGUUUUCUUUGAAAAGAAUCUCAUUGCUUGACGAUACAAGCUCCGUUUCGCUUGGAUAAAAACCGGUCUCAACUUUCGGCUGUCGUAGUGAAAGAGCGUUAAUGGGCAAAAGAUAAGUGGAGUUUGUUUUGCAUAAAAUUUAAUGCAGACCAGACUCUUUUGAGAAAUUGGAACCUCCACAUAAAAUUCUGGUAGGCACUGGUAGUACCUAUCUGUUGAGUGAUUGCAGUGCCCUGACGACCUUCAAUUUUUUAUUCGUUCCUUUGCUAUGUUCAAUUUUAGUAAUCUUUAGCUGCAGAAUAGAUCUCACAUAGUGAAGAUAUUUCUGAACCACUUUGUAUUAUUAUGUCGUGCAUUGCUGAUAUAUCUUGUAACAACUAAGCAGUAAAUUAUUAAAUUAGCUAGGAGAAAAGAAUUGUUUGGUGGAUGGCUUUGUUCUUGUGUGAAGUACAAAGUUUCCAAGAACACAAAUUUAAUACAUUUCAAGUCUCUAAAAGUCUCCAAGAACACAAAUUUGGUUGGAGGAAAAGAAAUCAAGGCUUGACAACAAGUCCUAAGUUUUUAAAAACUAUUUCAUCAAAAUUGGAACAUAUGAGAAUUGAUGAGACAUAAUUUAAAUUCUUUAUAUGCAAAAAAAAGAAAAAGAAAAAGAAAAAGAUUUGACAUUGUCAAGAAAGAUUAUGCUAAUAUUGUAGAAAAUUUAG